UACGGAGGGGGCUAGCGUUGUUCGGAAUUACUGGGCGUAAAGCGCACGUAGGCGGCCUUUUAAGUCAGGGGUGAAAUCCCGGGGCUCAACCCCGGAACUGCCCUUGAAACUGGGAGGCUAGAAUCUUGGAGAGGCGAGUGGAAUUCCGAGUGUAGAGGUGAAAUUCGUAGAUAUUCGGAGGAACACCAGUGGCGAAGGCGACUCGCUGGACAAGCAUUGACGCUGAGGUGCGAAAGCGUGGGGAGCAAACAGG
rnacentral:rRNA from 1 species